UACAGAGGGUGCAAGCGUUGUUCGGAAUUACUGGGCGUAAAGGGCUCGUAGGUGGCCAACUAAGUCAGACGUGAAAUCCCUCGGCUUAACCGGGGAACUGCGUCUGAUACUGGAUGGCUUGAGUUUGGGAGAGGGAUGCGGAAUUCCAGGUGUAGCGGUGAAAUGCGUAGAUAUCUGGAGGAACACCGGUGGCGAAGGCGGCAUUCUGGGACCGACAUUGACGCGUGAGGGAGACGCAAAGGCCAGGGAGACAAGCGGU
rnacentral:rRNA from 1 species